GUUCUGGCCGCUGCGUCGUCAUGACAACCGGCCGCGCUCAGCUCUGCUUCUAAAUUGGCUGAAGAGAAAUGGCGGGUUACUUAACCUUGGACCUUGUAUGUUUUCAUUACCCACUCUGUUUUCACGGUGGUUGUGAAGGUCAAGUGCAGAGGCAGUAAUGGAUGUGAAAUGGCACCCAUACCAAUGAGACGCUCGUGUAUAGAAGAGACCUGAGGGCAUGUGACCUAGGAAUGUGCAUCCCAAGAUAAUACUACUUUCAGAGAACUCUCCUUAUAGGACUCACUGCCUAUUUCUUAGUUCUGGGAACACAACUCAGACAAGUCGGUGAAGUUAAAUGAAGAUGUUGGAAUGAUUGUGAUUCCAAAGAGCCAAACUGCUGAAUGAGAAUGAAGGUGGCCAAUUACCACCUUCUAACAUACUGUAAUGCUUAUUUAUUAUGACUAUCGUUCAUUGCCUUUGUCCUUCUUCAUAAUGUUACUUCCCCAAAGGCAGGGGUAUUUGACUUCUUUGUUUAUCGAUGUAUCCAAAAGGCCUAAAACAAAGCCUUGCGCCUUGUAGACACUCAGUAAAUAUUUGCCGACUUGAAUAAAUAGCUGCAGGUCUAUCAGACUAUGCUGCUUUGAAGAACAUGCUGAAGUGUGGUCUAAGACAAGGUCAUUAACAUCCUCAUCCCAUCUGGCCCCUUGGACUUUAUUUGGGCCUUUGUGAUUAGAAAGAUAAGGUCUGUUGGAACUGUUUCAGGGAGAUUCUGGGAAACAAAAUAGCUGCCCAGGGGCCUGGGAGGAGAAAAGUGAUAAAUAAUAAAGAAGAAGAAGAAAAAAAAAACAUGAGAUACAAACAAACUCGAAAAAGAAAUGGAAUGGGCUUCAGGUAAUCCUCCUACACGUAACAGCUAUAAAUUCUGAACAUAAUAUAAAAAGCAGCUGUCCAAAGAUACUGAAGAACAACUGAACAGGCAAAUGCAGGAGUGGAGUCUCCAUUUGGAAGAAGGGAAUGGCAAUGGGCAAGUUUCCUAUGAUUAGUGCUCUUUGCUGUAAAGCAGGACCCAAGUCAUGCCAAAUAGGAGUGACUAAAACCUGUAUAAAAAACCUGUAGUCUUCCUGGCAUGAAGCGCCGGGAGUCAGAGUUCAAAGUGCUUACAGUAAUUAGAAAAUAAAAGAGGAAUCUUGGAAAGAGAGAGUUAAAGAGGGCAUGGGUAAUGUGUUGAUGCAUAUAAACUCUGCCCAUGUCAUUGCUGGCACCCCAACCAUGUGAGCAAGCAGCCCAGCACAGGCUAAAGGAACUAGACCAAAAUUUCUGUUCUGCUCACUACAAGGGAGACAGUUCGGAGUCUGAGGUCAAUUAAGUUAGCUGCCUGCUUUUAAAAAAUCAGUACUCUUCAGAGGAACACAACAGAAUCCAGAGGCUCUACAAUAUAUCACUGACAAUUUCUUGGAUGUCACCGAAAGAAAAUGUGAGUCAAAAGGCAAUCAAUGGAGACUGACGCUGAGAUAAUUCAGUGGCUUGAAUUAACAGACAAGGAUUUUAAAUCAGCUUUUGUAACUAUGAAAGAUAACUGAGAGAAAUAUAAAGUUUAGUUUCUUUUAAAACUAUGUAAUUAUUAUUUGUAAUUUAUUUUGAAAUAGUUUAUAUAUCAAGAAAAACUUGAAAUUAAUAUAGCAAACAUUUGCAUACUUUCCUCCUAAUUUAAGGAAUAAGCCUUACCAAAUACUCUUAAACUCUACCAUUUAACCAUCUCUGAAUAUAUUUCUCUAUAUACACUCCCAACAGACCACUAUAUUGAGUUUUAUCAUUACCUCAACUUUUUAAUAUAAGUACACUUAUUGUUAAGCAUACAGUUUAAUUUUGCAUGCUUUUUAACUCUAAAUAAAUUGCAUUAUACUUAAUGCUGUCUCCUGCAACUUAUAGUCUUUACUCAAUAUUGUUUUUUGAUAUUCGUUGAGGUGCACAUAGCUGCUGUUCAUUCACUUUCACCACCCUACAAUAUUUUAUGAACAUAUUUCCAUUUACUUUUUCAUUCUCUCUUCCAAGAAUAUUUGGGUUGUUACAGUUUUUUUGUUUUCGCUGUUACCCACAAAUGCUGCUAUGAACAUUCUUGUACAAAAAAUCAUAUUUACGUGUUUAAGAGUUUCUCCAGAACAGUGGUCCUCAAAGUGUGGUCCUACACCAACGGCAUCAGUUUGAUCUGGGAUCUUGUUAGCAGUGCAAAUCUUUGGACCCCACCACAGACCUACUGAAUUAGAAACUCUGGAGAUGGGGCCAGCAAUCUUUCCAGGAGAUUCUGAUACAGAGUCCAAUUUGAAAACCACUGCCGGAGAACUGAAUCGUAGGAAGGUACCUGCAGCCUGAUUGGAUAACAUCAAAUGACUGUCUAACGCAAUUUUAUCAGCUUACACUCUCACCCAUCAUUAUAUGAGUUUAUACUGUUUAGCAUCCUUACUGAUACUUCAUAGUCUUGGAAUUUUUAAUUUUUCGACCUAUCCAUUUGGUACAAAACGGUACCAACUGUGAUUUUAUUUUAGUCUUCCUUGAAUCUAAUGAGAUUGAAUAUCUUUUUAUUCACUGUUAGACAUUCAUACUUCCCUUUCUAUGAAAUGUCCGUACCUGUCUUUUGCUCAUUUUUCUAUUGGAUUGUUUGUCUUUCUCAUAUUAAGUAGUACACUCAUCCUUGUCAGUCAGAUGUUUUGCACAGACCUCUUCCAGUCUUGUGCCUUUUCUUUUCACUUUCAAAUGGUCUUUUGAUAAGCAGAAGUCUUUCAUUUUAUGUAGUCAAAUUGAUCAUUUUUCUAUGUGGUUGGUGUUUUUUGUAUCUUAUUUAAGAAAUGCUGCCACAUGAUGAUGUCAAAGGGAAAAAUGCUUCUCUACUAUUAGAUAAUAAAUAUGUACUUUUAUUUUCUUCUAAAAGUAUUAAUAAUUUGCUUUCACAUUUUAGUCUUAUAUCCACAUUGACUUUAUUUUGUAUGGUGUGAGAUAGAAAUCCACUUGUUUUCCACAUGGAUAACCAACUGCCCCAGUU